UGGCCCUCAGAAUGUGUGUGUAUAUAUAUAUAUAUAUAUAUAUAUAUAUAUAUAUAUAUACACACACACAGAGGGUCAAGUGACUU